rnacentral:rRNA from 1 species
ACUACGGGAGGCAGCAGUGGGGAAUAUUGGGCAAUGGGCGCAAGCCUGACCCAGCAACGCCGCGUGAAGGAAGAAGGCUUUCGGGUUGUAAACUUCUUUUCUCAGGGACGAAGCAAGUGACGGUACCUGAGGAAUAAGCCACGGCUAACUACGUGCCAGCAGCCGCGGUAAUACGUAGGUGGCAAGCGUUAUCCGGAUUUACUGGGUGUAAAGGGCGUGUAGGCGGGAAAGCAAGUCAGAUGUGAAAACCAUGGGCUCAACCUGUGGCCUGCAUUUGAAACUGUUUUUCUUGAGUACUGGAGAGGCAGACGGAAUUCCUAGUGUAGCGGUGAAAGGCGUAGAUAUUAGGAGGAACACCAGUGGCGAAGGCGGUCUGCUGGACAGCAACUGACGCUGAGGCGCGAAAGCGUGGGGAGCAAACAGGAUUAGAUACCCUUGUAGUC